UCCCUGGUGGCUCAGAGGUUAAAGCGUCUGCCUGCAAUGCAGGAAACCUGGGUUCGAUCCCUGGGUCGGGAA
rnacentral:tRNA from 1 species